GGAAAGAGUGACUGCUCAGUGGUAGGGCAUCUGCUUUGAAUGCAGAAGGUCUUGGAUUCAAUCCCCGGCCUAUCCA